CCAGCCCUGGUCCCGUGGAUGGUACAGCCCAGCCCUGGUCCCGUGGAUGGUACAGCCCAGCCCUGGUCCACUGGGCUAAACUAGAAAAAGAGGUUGCUAACUAAUCCCCCAGAAAGUGGUUUAGAUUAUUGCUGACCAGCAAAAAGAUGGGAAAGCAAAAGGGUGGAGGAGACAAAAUGGAGGACAGAGAAUGAAGGGGGUAAGAGAUACGUGUUGUUUAAACAUCCAUUCAUUUGUUUAUGUAUUAAUUCUUCAGCUACACCAGUCCUCUUCUCUUCUGAUGAUCUUUCCUCCCUAAAACUCCUCUCUCAUCCUACAUCCUCUCUCCUCUUUCAUCCUCUCUCCUCUCUCAUCCUACAUCCUCUCUCAUCCUACAUCCUACAUCCUCUAUCCUCUCUCAACCUACACCCUCUCUCCUCUCUCAUCCUACAUCCUCUCUCAUCCUACAUCCUCUCUCCUCUCUCAUCCUACAUCCCCUCUCCUCUCAUCUCAUCCUUUAUCCUCUCUCAUCCUACAUCCUACAUCCUCUCUCCUCUCAUCCUUUAUCCUCUCUCAUCCUACAUCCUCUCUCCUCUCUCAUCCUACAUCCUCUUUCUCCUACAUCCUCUCUCCUACAUCCCCUCUCCUCUCUCUCCUCCAUGCCUACAUCCUCUCUCCUACAUCCCUACAUCCUCUCUCCUCUCUCUCCUCCAUUCCUACAUCCUCUCUCCUCUCUCUCCUCCAUCCUCUCCUCUCUCUCCUCCAUUCCUCCAUCCUCUCCUCGCUCUCCUCCAUUCCUAUAUCCUCUCUCCCCUCUCUCCGCUCUCCUCCAUUCCUACAUCCCCUCUCCUCACUCUCCUCCAUUCCUACAUCCCCCUCUUCUCUCUCUCCUCCAUCCCUAUAUUCCCAUGCCUAUAACUGUGCUGUGACUGUCACUGGUGUAGUGAAUAGUCUAGUCUAGUGUGCGUAUGCUUGUAUGAAUAGAGCUGCUGACUCCAUUGUGUGUUCAGGGCAACAGAUAAAGCUCAAUGAAAGACUAUUUGAAAUGGCUCAGACAAUGAUCUGAGGAACAUAGAGACAUGGACCACACUACCAUACCUGCAAUGUCACCUGUCCGUCUCGUUGGGGCUCGGUGUGGGCGUGUGAGGGGACCGGUGUGUGGGGGCGGAGAGAUGUUUCCCCCCCAAGCACACAGAGAGCUCAUUACAGCACUGUGGCACGCAGAGCGUGGCGGCACGUCCCAAAAAUAUACUCAUUUCCAAAAUAACAACCCCAAACCACCCCCCCCCACAUUAAUAAUGUAGGAGUAGACGGACCAACGACUUUAAACAGCACCACAUUAAUAAUGUAGGAGUAGACGGAUCAACGACUUUAAACAGCACCACAUUAAUAAUGUAGGGGUAGACAGACCAACGACUUUAAACAGCACCACAUUAAUAAUGUAGGGGUAGACGGACCAACGACUUUAAACAGCACCACAUUAAUAUUGUAGGAGUAGACGGACCAACGACUUUAAACAGCACCACAUUAAUAAUGUAGGGGUAGAUGGACCAACGACUUCAAACAGCACCACAUUAAUAAUUUAGGGGUAGACGGAUCAACGACUUUAAACAGCACCACAUUAAUAAUGUAGGGGUAGACAGACCAACGACUUUAAACAGCACCACAUUAAUAAUGUAGGGGUAGACGGACCAACGACUUUAAACAGCACCACAUUAAUAAUGUAGGAGUAGACGGACCAACGACUUUAAACAGCACCACAUUAAUAAUGUAGGAGUAGACGGACCAACGACUUUAAACAGCACCACAUUAAUAAUGUAGGGGUAGACGGACCAACGACUUUAAACAGCACCACAUUAAUAAUUUAGGGGUAGACGGACCAACGACUUUAAACAGCACCACAUUAAUAAUGUAGGAGUAGACGGACCAACGACUGUAAACAGCACCACAUUAAUAAUUUAGGGGUAGACGGACCAACGACUUUAAACAGCACCACAUUAAUAAUGUAGGGGUAGACAGACCAACGACUUCAAACAGCACCACAAACAAAGGAGAGAAAGAACUGAGGACAUUAUAGUUCUAACGGCUGGUAUAGUGGUCUGAUAUGGCUGGUAUAGUGGUCUGAUACGGCUGGUAUAGUGGUCUGAUACGGCUGGUAUAGUGGUCUCACCAUACGGCUGGUAUAGAGGUCUGAUACAGCUGGUAUAGUGGUCUGAUACGGCUGGUAUAGUGGUCUGAUACGG
ensembl:lncRNA